ensembl:misc_RNA
CUGAGUUGGCUCCAAACUCAAUCCAUACUCUAAGUAACAGAUUCAAGAUGCUCAACAUUGGAAUUAUUUGGCAUCAAUUUAAAAUGAAAC